rnacentral:rRNA from 1 species
UACGUAGGGGGGCAAGCGUUGUCCGGAAUCAUUGGGCGUAAAGCGCGUGUAGGCGGCCCGAUAAGUCCGCUGUGAAAGUCCAGGGCUCAACCCUGGGAUGCCGGUGGAUACUGUCGGGCUCGAGUCCGGAAGAGGCGAGUGGAAUCCUGGUGUAGGCGGUGAAAGUGACGCAGAUAUCAGGAGGAACACCAAUGGCGAAGGGCAGCUCGCUGGGACGGUACUGACGCUGAAACGCGAAAGCGUGGGGAGCGAACAGG